UACGUAGGGUGCGAGCGUUAAUCGGAAUUACUGGGCGUAAAGAGUGCGUAGGCGGUUCGUUAAGUCAGCUGUGAAAGCCCCGGGCUCAACCUGGGAACUGCGGUUGAAACUGGCGAACUAGAAUCUGGCAGAGGGGGGUGGAAUUCCACGUGUAGCAGUGAAAUGCGUAGAGAUGUGGAGGAACACCGAUGGCGAAGGCGAGUUUCUGGACGGUAACUGACGCUGAGGCACGAAGGCCAGGGGAGCAAACGGG
rnacentral:rRNA from 1 species